GAAUUGUCAGAUUUAGCAAACAGAAAUACCUCACAAUUCAAAGGCCAUGGGUACUUUGCUAAAAAGUUACUCAUUAUCUGGAAUUCCCACUUCACUGGGUGUAUAUGGCCAGUACUUCUCCGCCUGUGGGGCAUGCCCAGCGCUUGUGUGUGGUAGGGGUCCCAAGCUCAAGGACUUACAGAGUCCUAGGCAGCAGCUGAAGACUUGUAGAGUCUGAGAUAUCAACGUGGGGACGAGCAUGGGGAACUUGCCUGGGCGUGCGUGCUUGUUACCUGGAUGAGCCUCCCCUUGCUCUGGACUUGGACGUGGGCUGCCCAGAGGUCUCUGCCCACUCUGGCACCACCCUAAGGAACCCAGUUUCCAGCUCUUGUCCCUCCAACUGGGCUAGGCCCCCAGGACCUGGAUGUCAAAGGAUGCCUCUGGGCCUGGAGGCAGCUCCUUGGCUGGGUGAGUCCUUCCCACCAGUGCUGUGUGGCCCUGGUAGGGCGUGUGUGUCUCCCUGGGGCUGUGUGGGGUUAGGCUGGCCCUGGGGUAGUCUGAAAGUACCUCUUUUUGAACAUCUUAAGCCACUUCCUCAGCGUUUUCUCACUCAGUCCAUUCUCCACCUGCUGCAUCUUUCCCUCACUGGGGAGAAUGAACAAAGCCGUGGCAUUGCCUUGGUAGGGGACCCCCACCACCCUGCAAGAGAGGUUCCGGUCCAGGAGGUAGUGAUACUGAUCCUCGCGGCUCAUCAUGGGUACCCGCACCACAGUCUCCGAGGUCACGUAGAAGUCUUGCUCUUGGGUGCCUUUGUGGUUGAAGCUUGUCUCCCACUUAGCUAAAGAUGAAAAAAGGGAAAAAUGAAAAAGAAUUUUGUGUCAGAAUUAGAAAUUCUCAGCUGCAAAUAAAAGGAGUGAAGACAGUAAAGAUAGCCAGCAGAGACCAUCUUUAUGGCAGCCUCAGAGCAGUGACUGUUGAACUUCUUGAAUAUGAAGGCAAGUCUCUUUAUAACAUUGGGCACAUUCUUGGACUUUUCGUGGGACUUUUCCUUCCACAUUUGCAAAACAAGGAGGUUGGUUUUCACAUCUUCAGAGGCCCUGGACCCCUGAUGUUCUCUGAUUCUCUAACGUUUUACUCAAGACCAAAUCUCCAAGUGAAGAGGGUGAAAAAUGUGGCUGGCUGUGAAUGCUACCUGAUAUCUGGGUGAGCUUCUCUGUUUGCACUUUCAUUCCAAUAUUUUGAUUUAAAUUUUAGAAAGAAGUUAGUAUGGAUCCUGGAAAUGAAUGGUUUUUCCCAUUGGGAAGUCUUCAAUGACCCUUCUCUGACCUUCCUAUGGGAAUUUCUGAACAAAACGCUACAAGUGAUUGUUUCCAACUUCUUUUUAUUUUAUUUUAUUUCUUUUUUCUUUCUUUCUUUCUUUUUUUUUUUUUUGAGAUGGAGUCUCGCUCUGUGACCCAGGCUGGAGUGCAGUGGCGCAAUUUUGGCUCACUACAGCCCCCACCUCCCAGGUUCAAGUGAUUCUCCUGCCUCAGCCUCCCAAGUAGCUGGAAUUACAGGCGCCCACCACCAUGCCUGGCUAAUUUCUGUAUUUUUUUAGUAGAGAUGGGGUUUCACUAUGUUGGCCAGGCUGAUCUCGAACUCCUGACCUCAGGUGAUCUGCCCAUCUCGGCCUCCUAAAAUGUUGGGAUUAUAGGCGUGAGCCACCACGCCUGGCCUGUUUCCAACUUCUUAAUUGUUAUCGAAGGAAGACCCCAGUCAAUACCGUCCUUAGCUUAUUUCCCAGCUGCCCUCAGCAAUCUGGUGUAAUGGGCACUGCCCUGCACCAGGGGAUAGGAAAUCUCAGAGUCCAAGUUCGACACUCACUGCUGUGGUCUCAAUGUUUGUGUCCCCACAUUGUUCAUAUGUUGAAACCUAACCCCCAAGGUGGUGGUAUUAGGACAGGGGGCCUUUGGGAGUUGAUUAGGUCAUGGGGGUGGAGCUGUCAUGAACAGGAUCGGUGUCCUUACAAAAGAGACCACAGAGAGCUGCCUUCCUCCUUCGAGCAAGGAUAUACUAAGAAGGCACUCUCUAUGAACCAAGGAAUGGGCACUGCAUCUGCCAGUGCCUUGAUCCUGGACUUCUCAGCCUCCAGAACUAUGAGAAAUAUAUGUUUGUUGUUGCUAAGCCACCCAGUUUACGGUAUUUUGUUAUAGCCACCCAAAUGGCCAAAGAUACUCACGAUCUGUGACCAUAGGAAGGGGAGGUGUUAACAAUUUACCUUCCUUCGCAACCCUUCCCACCCUCUCCUCUCCUCUCUUCUCCUCUCUAUCCACUCUUGCUUUCCCCAGGGUCAGCAACUGGCAGGAGCUGCAGAGGCGAGCAGGAAUGCUUACAAGGAGUGUCGGGGAGAUAAGCAGAGGUCAGCUCUUGCUGAGGAGUCAGGAGGAGGCAUUUCAGAGGAACAAGCAUUUGUCUGAGGGAGUCUUGGCCUCUAUGAGGGCAGAGGGGCCAGGAUCUGGGGGAUAUGGGGGACUGGGAAAUGCCCUUUAAGCCCUUCUGGGGUCUGUGUCCUGCCCUGAGUGGCUAAGGUGUUGGUGUCUUUGCCAUGGUGGCCACAAUGGGUUCAUGCUUCAGAGCCUGUAUGAAAGCUGGGGCUUCAGAUGUCCCCAGGGGCCCAAAGACAGCAACCAGCUCUUCCUCCAUGGAGGAAACAGCAUCUCAGCCUCACUAAUCCCAUCCACAGCAAGAAGGCAUUCAUCUUACCUUCUCUGGCUGCUUGUUUACUUAAUUUUUCUCAACAGGCACCCAAAAGAACUUAAUGUACUCCCCGUCUUUUAUGUAUGUGAGGGAAUUGGGUAUUCUUUAGAUAAAAGCAGCAGAAAAGCCAAAGAAAGUGCAGGUUUGGGCCCAAGGGCCUUACCUUUAAAGAAGAUGUAAUUCACCAUGAUCACGACCGCAUUGCUAUCGAGGUUCUUAAGCAAGUCCACAAUCUUGCCCUUCGUUUGCUUUGCCACAUAAUCAUUGAUCUGCUUCAUGGCCCCUGCAGAGUCCCUAAAGUUGGUGGGGAAAGUGUCUGCCAGGUACAGCGUCUUCAUGGCACUUACGAAGGUGUCCUGCAGGUCCACCACCAGGUCGGUGAAAAGGGCGUUGCCGAGGCUCAGCUGGAAGCCAUCUCUGGGCUGGUUGAGUUCCUGAAGGAGCUGCUGAAAGCCUCUGUGCAGCUCCUCCUCUGAGCUUUUCUGGAGGUUGAGGCCCAGACCCUCCAGGAUCUGCAUCUUUGUGCUGGACCCAGCCCCCAGGGAGAGCAUGGCCAGGCUCAUGGAGAUGCUCACAGGGGAGAAGAAGAUGUUCUGGCUGGGGGCAGCGGAAGCCAAGGCCCUGUAGAGGUCGAAGGUAAAGUCCCUUCUGCUGCUGGGGGCCACCGUGGCACCUACAUGGAGGUCCUCGACUCUCUUCUUCAUCUCCCGGGGGUGGUGGCGGUGAAGGGAGGCCCCCUGAGGGCUGAGAAGCACCAGGCACAAGAGGAGGAAGAGCUGCAUGGUGGCUGUUCUUUGUUCUGAAAGGGAAAGAAGGUGUCCUCAGAGAGGGGUGGAGCUGGUCCAGGUGCUGACUUUCCAGAGAUGUCCCCACCCAACACUCAAUGGGUAUGUUUCGUCCAUUCAGCUUCAAAGAGAAGGGAUGGCACCCCCAAGACUGGGCAUGAGGGUUUACACAGGGUGGCAGUGGCUCGAGGACAAGAUUUAGGGAUGACGGGGAGAGGAAGGAGGGAGAGGAGGUGCAGACCCAAGGCAGGGGUCUGGCUGCCAGGGCAGGAAUCCUGUCUACCCAUCCACAUCAAGGGACACAUUUUGGAGGAUGGGAUAUGGAGGGAGAGGGUUCCCUCUGCUCUGCUCUGUCUCAUCAGCAUCUCGAGGUUACCAGGGAACUAAGCUGCUUCCAUGUGAGCUUCUGGCCUUCACUCUGGUGUCCUGGUUUGGCACAUGGCAGGGCACUGUGGUCCUUCUAUGAACUCAGACCAGCUACAUGCCUGGGACCAUCAGCACUGCUGGCCUUGCCCUGUUCAUUCAGCAAACGCUGAGUGAGUGUCCACCCUGGGGUAGGCAGAAUACCAGUAUGCAAACUGUCCCCUUCUCCUUCCCCCAGGGGCUGCUCCAUGCCACCCUUGUCCCACAGAGAGACACCUUCCCCUCCUAAAGGAAUUCUGCCUGAACCUCUUCAUGUGGACAUCCCCACCGUCCUCCUGUUCUGGCUGAAUUGUGCCCCCAAAAUGCAUAUGCUGAAGUCCUUACCUUCAAUACCCCAGAAUGUGACUAUAUCUGGAGACAGGGCUUUUAAAGAGGGAACUGAGUUAGAAUGAGGUCACUAGAGUGGGCCCCAACCCAAUAUGACUACGUCCUUAUGCAAAAAUUAAAAAGAGGAGAUCAGGAUAGAGACAUGCACAGAGGGAAGACCAGGUGAAGACAGGGAGAAGGCAGCCACCUGUGAGCCAAGGAGAGGGGCCUUGGAAGGAACAAAUCCUGCUGGUGCCUUAAUCUCAGACUUCCAGCUUCCAGAGUUGUAAAGAAAGAAAGUUCUGUUGUUGAAGCCCCCUAGCCUCUGGGACUUUGUGACGGCAGCCCAUGCAGGCAAAGACAUCUUUUCAUCUUCCAGAUAAGGAGGCACUCAUCUUUGUCUCUAGCGCUUCUCAGGGAGGCCUUUGUGGGGUCUCCCAUCACUCCUGACGUGGCCUUCGCCUUCAGUCCUCCUCUUCCUCCCUCCACUUCACCCAAGAGCCGUUCCUGUGCCCAUGCCUCCCCAUCUGGCUACGGGUAGAAGUCUUGCCUCCUCCCUCCGCAGUAGGAAACAGCCCAGGCUCUGAAGCCGCUGCCUGGGUUCAAAUCUCAGCCCUGCUGUGUCCUUGUAGUGUGAUUUUGGGCAAGUCAGUUACACCUUGAGCCACUGCUCCAUAACUGUAAGAUAGUGAUAAUAACAGCACCUACACCAUGGGGUGGUUGGGGGCACGUGCUAUGGAAGUGUGAGCAGUAGGCAUGGCAGUUUCUGGCAAAAGCCCCAUCUGAGGCCUCCAUAUUCUCAACUGUACCAUAGGGUACAUGCUUUACACACACACACACACACACACACACACACGUGUGAGCCUGACAGCACCUGGGCCGGCUAAUUACCAGGUGCAGAGGGCCUGCCUGGCUUCUGAUGUGAGCUUUGCCCUGUGUGUCGCCUUGGAGGGAAUCCCUUUCCGCUGGGCUGUCUCCAUGGGCACAAUGUCAUCAGUGACCCCAGAUCCCCACCAGGCAGGGGCAGCCUGUCACAGCAUCCCAUGACCCAAUUAAAACCAAACUCCAAAGGGCCCCAAACAGCUGGGUGGGAAAUCCCUUGCAGAGUGGCCGUGGGGCUCAGCAGCGGACAGAGAAUGGUCUCAGGAAUUGGGCAGGCUUGGACUGCAGGCCUGUCUUUAAGUGAAGUUGAAUAGCUCCAGCAGGUCACCCUUGCCAGCCCAGCCUCCAAAUUGUGCCCUGAGCUCCCUCCGAGAAGGAGGCUCAUGUAGAAGUUUCUGCCUGCAGAAUCGAACCCGGCACCAAACCCAGCAGCCACAGCAGUUGGGCGCAUUGCCCGCACCCUCUUUCAGGCACUGUGCCAACUCCUUCAGCCCUGCACCACCCAAAAAGGUACAUCUUGCUGCUAGCUCUAUUUUACAGAUGGGUAAUCCGAGGUUCAGAGAGAUGGAGUCGCUUGCUAACACUGGCAAAGCUUGGACUCAGACUCGGUUAUCACUCCGACUCUGCAGAGUCCUGCCUGCUCUGCAGAGUCCUGCCUCCUCUUUUCCUGGCUGCAUCUUCCUGAUUUUGAAAUCCCUGACUUAGUAGCCACCAACAAUAGCCCUAAUCUGCAGAUAAUGAGUGAGCAGAGUCUGGGCUUCCCCCCACCGACACUCCCUACCUGUUCCCACCGUGGCACUUGCCUGGAGAGCUUUGAAGGACAUGGGUGGGUGCUUUAAUCUCCGGCUUCUCUAAAUGAGUCUAUUUUACAGCACAAUAUGGUCCCUCCUGCCAAGGGUUGGAACCAGCCAUGUAUGGAGAUGCUGCUAAAGAAACAAUGUGACUCAACCCCCCGCAGGGUCACACUGAGCUGAUAAUUUCGAGAACAGCUUCAGAAGCAGGGGAGUUUCCUUAUUGGAUACAGCCCAGGGGCAGCUGACCAGAGAGUCUCAGUGAGGCCCUGGCCUCCAUUCUCCCAUCUAUGCAGCUACUAGGUCACCCUGGGCAAGGCUUACCCCCUCUGGGCCUCAGUUUCUUCAUCUGCAGUCUGCCAUGUGUUGUGGACACCCCCUUAAGACCCCGCUCGCUGCCAAGCACUAGAGAUCCGAUGGGGAGGAGCUGCUUCUCCGGGUGUGCACUGAGUCUCCCCCAGGAUCUGUUUGGAGAGGGCCCCAGAUUCACUUAGGCUCUCCUGGGCUACAUGUUUGAGACCCAGAAAUCUUGCUCCCUCUGGGCCAACUCUCUCUACUUUUCAGUAAAACCACUAAUUAUUAAAGACAUACUAGACACUCCAUAAAUAUUACUAUGUUUAACCUUCACCAAAAGUAAGCUGUCUAUUUUACAGAGUUUUCCAAAAGUAAACUCACUCUAUUUUACAGAUUGAAUAGACUGAGGCUAAGUGAAAUGGAAUAGCUUGUUUCAGCUACUGAGUGAUGGAACCGGAAUUAAAAUCCAGGUUCCUCUGACUCGUGCACAGCCUGUCUCUGAGUGGCUCUGAGGAGUGAUACCUCGUUCCUCCUCGACCUCACCUCCUGGUAUCCCCAGGCGGUUCACCUGCAUUAGCUCAUUUAUACUUCUCUACAACAACAUGGAGUUAGUAUCAUUAUCCUAACAGUGCAGAAGAAACAGAGGGUCAGAGAGGUCACUUCAAGAGGCAGUGGAGUCCUCAGUGCUUGUUUUACGUUUCUUAGUUUCAAACCCAGGGUUUGCCAUCGCACUCUUGGGCCUCUGGUGGAAAUAUACGGCUUUGACAGAGACAGGUGAAGCCCUGGGAGCCUCCCAUCCCCUAGACCAGCCUCUACUGAGUGCUUUGAAAGCUUGGUUGGUUUGCCCCUCUCCUGGUCCCUGGCUUUAGUGUUUCUGCAGAGGGAAGACAGAGGAUCAGUCAUGUUCAUCUGUCAUCUCAGGCCAAGGUGAAUUGAGGUGGGAGGUGGUGGGGAUGUGAUGGGUAGGCCCUGGUCAGUCUUCCCGCUGGCCCCCCACCAUCCCUGAAACCCAAAUCUGCUGACUGAUAUUUCACGUGUUGGGCAGUGAAGUCCUGCCCAGUUCUACCCUGGACUUAGCUGUGGGAACUGUGUUAGUGAGGACGGUCUGUCCAAUAUCUUCUAAUUACAAAAAGGGAUGUGAGGCUUGGAGCCCAGGCAGAGAUGAGAGACAAAGUCACAGCUUCCCCUAGAUCCUAAAGACCCAGGAACAGAACUUCCCAGAAGAAGUAAUCUUGACUUCCUGUUCCACUCCAGCCCAUCAGCAAGGCUUGUCCGUUCUAUCUCCAAAACAGGUCUUAAAGCUGCCGCCUCUCCCUGGCUUUCUCACUGCCCCCAGUGGAAGCUCCCACCAUCUCCCCCAGGGCUACCCCAGCAGCUUCCUUUCUUUGCCCUGCAAGGCUUUCUAUAUACAGCAUAUAAAAGAAUCUCCUUCAAUCAUAAAUAUGGUCACAGCGCUUCCUCGCCUAAGAAACUCAUGGCCAACUCCUGUGUUUCAGAUAAAUGCUAAACUUUGAUUUGUGCUCUAACCCACUAGGGCUGCUGUGACCUGGCUGCACCUGGCCUGGACCUGCUCUGCCCUGGAUCACGUGAUACCCCCAGGCUCACUCUUCUUUUCCCAGUUUCUCAACCACAGCAAGUUCUGUCCUAACUCUGGGCCUUUGCAUACCUUCCCUCUCUACUGGAACCCUCCCCCAACCUUUCUCACUGAGGCCAACUUCUGCAUAGGCUGCAGGCCUUUGCUUAAAUGUCACUUCUUUGCAAUACCUUAUCACACUGGACCUUUUCCCCUUCCACGGCUAUUCUCUGGAACGGUCCCUUGACUCUUUCUCUCAAAGCUCUUUCAAUUACACAUGUGCCUUUAUAUAUGCAUUUGUCAUUGACAUUUUUCAUUCCGGCCUCUCUCUCCAUGGGACCCUCAUUUGUGCUGCUCUCACCUUCAAGAGCUUGCAGUCAUGAGAGAUGCUCCAUAAACCUUUGUAGAAUGAAUGAAUGAAUGAACUGACCCGUCUCCUUCUCUGUAAUUCAGAGACGUUAGACUGCAAGCUGGACCCUGAACAGUGGAAAAAGCCAGGCUGGCCACCCAGAGCUGAGCUCUCCCCGCCCCGGGGCUCACUUGCCAGGUGACCUUGAACAACUCCCUCCCUGUCUCUCAGCUCUGGCUUCCUAUUAUUUCUUUAUUAAAACCACUUGAUUGAGA